rnacentral:rRNA from 1 species
GAUGAACGCUGGCGGCGUGCCUAAUACAUGCAAGUAGAACGCUGAAGGAGGAGCUUGCUCUUCUGGAUGAGUUGCGAACGGGUGAGUAACGCGUAGGUAACCUGCCUGGUAGCGGGGGAUAACUAUUGGAAACGAUAGCUAAUACCGCAUGACAACAGUUAUUGCAUGAUAACUGUUUAAAAGGGGCAACUGCUCCACUAUCAGAUGGACCUGCGUUGUAUUAGCUAGUUGGUGAGGUAACGGCUCACCAAGGCGACGAUACAUAGCCGACCUGAGAGGGUGAUCGGCCACACUGGGACUGAGACACGGCCCAGACUCCUACGGGAGGCAGCAGUAGGGAAUCUUCGGCAAUGGACGGAAGUCUGACCGAGCAACGCCGCGUGAGUGAAGAAGGUUUUCGGAUCGUAAAGCUCUGUUGUAAGAGAAGAACGAGUGUGAGAGUGGAAAGUUCACACUGUGACGGUAUCUUACCAGAAAGGGACGGCUAACUACGUG